AUAUAGUAAUAUCUUACAUUGUUCCAUUUUCUUAUCACAGAUUCCAAAUGCUUGCAACCUGCUGAGCCUGGAAUUUGUCGAGCUGAGAUUCCAAGAUUCUACUUCAACAGUGAGACUGAAAAAUGCGAACAAUUCUUCUACGGCGGCUGUAUGGGUAACAGUAACCGCUUCAAGACUAUAGAAGAGUGCAAAUCCGCUUGUCAAUAAAUAUAA